AUCGCUUCUCAGCCUUUUGGCUAAGAUCAAGUGUAGUGUUCUUAUCAGUUUAAUGCAAGAGCAAUCCCCCAAACAACAUGUAGAUGCUGUACUAAAACUAACAUACUAAUAUAAAGCUGUGAGAAAUAUUUUCUUCCUUGUCAUGUUGGAACAGUAGGCAGUGCCAAUAACAUUGCUUUAGAUUGGAUGACACACACUCU